CGUUAACCUUAUUUGAUUCAUCAUGUUGUCCUAAAUCAGUUGCGAAUUCCUCACUAUUAUAGUUUUUAAAGCUGUGAAGCAUUCCUACAGUCUCCAUGAAAUCCUAUAAUGGAGUUCCAAUAUAAUGAAGAUGAAGUUAACUUUAUACAAAUAAGAAAUGCAUAUUAUAGGAGGUGAGUGUACCUUAUCCUUUUUGACAUCAGUGGUCAAAGGAGAUUUAAGUUUUUUUUUUUCAUUUUUAUCUUAUCAUAAAUCACAAACUC
rnacentral:lncRNA from 1 species